rnacentral:rRNA from 1 species
UACGUAGGGGGCUAGCGUUGUCCGGAAUUACUGGGCGGAAAGGGCGCGUAGGCGGUGCUCUAAGUCGGAUGUGAAAACUCUGGGCUCAACCCAGAGCCUGCAUCCGAAACUGGAGUGCUAGAGUUCUGGAGGGGGUAGCGGAAUUCCUGGUGUAGCGGUGAAAUGCGUAGAUAUCAGGAGGAACACCGGUGGCGAAGGCGGCAUCCUGGACCAACACUGACGCUGAGGAGCGAAAGCCAGGGGAGCAAACGGG